rnacentral:rRNA from 1 species
GGAAAAGUUUUCAUGAAAAGGAAAAGAUAAAUGGAUCUUUUCUGCCAUAGGAUAGGAUCGUGGUCGAUUAUGGUAGUUGGUGAGGUAAUGGCUCACCAAGCCGAUAAUCGAUAGGGGCCGUGAGAGCGGGAGCCCCGAGAUGGGUACUGAGACACCGACCCAGACCUUACGAGGUGCAGCAGGCGCGAGACCUCCGCAAUACACGAAAGUGUGACGGGGUUACCCAAAGUGUCCAUUUUUGAACUGUGGUAGGUGAGUAAUGUCCCCUACUAGAAAGGAGAGGGCAAGACUGGUGUCAGCCGCCGCGGUAAUACCAGCUCUCCGAGUGGUAGGGACGAUUAUUGGGCCUAAAGCGUUCGUAGCCGGCUUGGCAAGUCUUUCGUUAAAUCCAGUGACCUAAUCGCUGGGCUGCGGGAGAUACUGUCAGGCUUGGGAGCGGAAGAGGUCGACGGUAUUCUCGGGGUAGGGGUGAAAUCCUGUAAUCCCGGGAGGACCACCAGUGGCGAAGGCUGUCGACUAGAACGCGUCCGACGGUGAGGGACGAAAGCUGGGGGAGCGAACCGGAUUAGAUACCCGGGUAGUCCCAGCUGUAAACUAUGCGGGCUAGGUGUCAGUGUGGCUACGAGCCACUCUGGUGCCGCAGGGAAGCUCAUAAGCCCGCCGCCUGGGAAGUACGG